CAAUGAGUGCAAUCCUGAUGGCCCCUCAGGAGCUAAGCUCCACUGUGCAAGGGCACCUCCCACUCCAGACAAAUGGCUUUCUUUCCCAACUUUCGGAUUAACUGUGAGACAAAGGUAAAGAGGAAACUGGAGCAGUUCCUAUGGCAGCCGGCUAAUUCUGGACAGAAGACUGCAGAGCUCAGCAUGGUUUCCUCACAAAACGAACACACCUCCCCUCCUGAUCUGAAGGAGAAAGUGGCACCCUCUGGAAGCAACAAUAAGCUCAAAGGCGUCAGGCAGGACACAGCUUCUGUGAGGCCUGACAACGGGGAACUCAUCACAGUCUAAGGACUCCCACUGAUGGCAAUGUUCAACUACUGCAAAACUUGUCACAGUAAAGUUCUCGUGAGAUUCAAUGGGA